UACGGAGGAUCCGAGCGUUACCCGGAUUUAUUGGGUUUAAAGGGUGCGCAGGCGGGAGAUUAAGUCGGCGGUGAAAUUUUGCAGCUCAACUGUAAAAGUGCCUUCGAAACUGGUUUCCUUGAGUGUGGAUGAAGUAGGCGGAAUUUGUGGUGUAGCGGUGAAAUGCAUAGAUAUCACGAGGAACUCCGAUUGCGCAGGCAGCUUACUAAACCAUAACUGACGCUCAGGCACGAAGGCGUGGGGAUCAAACAGGAUUAGAUACCCCUGUAGU
rnacentral:rRNA from 1 species